AUGACAUUUAGAGAGAGGCUGCUUCACAAAAACUUGCAGGAGCAUUUUUCAAACCAAGACCUGGUUUUUCUGCUAUGAACACCAAGUAUAAUAACAGAAAGCCGCUCUACUCAUCGACUGGAACAUGCCUUAUAUAAACCUCGAAAAGGACUUUUUCACAGGGUACCUUCAGUGGUUGCCAAUCUGGGCAUGUCUGAACAACUAGGUUAUAAAACUGUAUCAGGUUCCUGUAUGUCCACUGGUUUUAGCCGAGCAGUACAAACACACAGCUCUAAAUUUUUUGAAGAAGAUGGAUCCUUAAAGGAGGUACAUAAGAUAAAUGAAAUGUAUGCUUCAUUGUAAGAGAAAUUAAAGAGUAUAUGCAAAAAAGUGGAAGACAGUGAACAAGCAGUAGAUAAACUAGUAAAGGAUGUAAACAGAUUAAAACGAGAAAUUGAAAAAAGGAGAUGAGCCCAGAUUCCAGCAGAACGAGAGAAGAGCAUCCAAAAAAGACCCUCAGGAGAACAUUUUUCUUUGUCAAACAUUAUGGACCUUUUUUCCAGAUUCUGAAUUCUUCAUGCAUGUGUUAUGUCUUUAAAAAAACAGACAUGUUUCUAAAGGUAGCUCUAACAACCACCACCAUCUCGAUGUAGUAGACAAUCUGACCUUAAUGGUAGAAAACACUGACAUUCCUGAAGCUAGUCCAGCUAGUACACCACAAAUGGUUAAGCAUAAAACCUUAGACUUAGCUGACAGAUGGCAGUUCAAGAGAUGACGGCGGACGGAUCACGAGGUCAGGAGAUCGAGACCAUCCUGGCUAACACAGUGAAACCCCAUCUCUAAUACAAAAAAAUUGGCUGGGCGCGGUGGCUCACGACUAUAAUCCCAGCACUUUGGGAGGCCAAGGUGGGCGGAUCAGGAGGUCAGGAGACAGAGACCAUCCUGGCUAACAUGGUGAAACCCUGUCUCUAUUAAAAUACAAAAAAUUAGCCCGGCGUGGUGGCAGGUGCCUGUAGUCCCAGCUGCUUGGGAGGCUGAGGCAGGAGAAUGGUGUGAACCCAGAAGGCGGAGCUUGCAGUGAGCUGAGAUCCUGCCACUGCACUCCAGCCUGGGCUACAGAGGAAUACUUCGACUCAGGAG
rnacentral:lncRNA from 1 species